rnacentral:rRNA from 1 species
ACAGGCGAAGCGUACGGUAUUAGUGCGUCGAUGAGGAUCCUUUUCCUUAUUUAAGGAGCUGGGGGAAUAAAGGGGGGGCAAGUCUGGUGUCAGCCGCCGCGGUAAUACCAGCCCCCUGAGUGGUAGGGACGAUUAUUUGGCCUAAAGCGUCCGUAGCCGGCCCGGCAAGUCUUUCGUUAAAUCCGGCGAUUCAAUCGUCGGACCGCGGAAGAUACUACUAGGCUUGAGGACGGGAGAGGUCGACGGUAGUCCCAAGGGUAGGGGUGAAAUCCUAUAAUCCUGGGAGGACCACCAGUGGCGAAGGCGGUUCGACUAGAACGUGCCUGACGGUGAUGGACGAAAGCUGGGGGAGCGAACCGGAUUAGACACCCGGGUAGUCCCAGCUUGUAAACGAUGCGAGCUAGGUGUUGGGGUAGCUACGAGCUACUCCAGUGCCGCAGAGAAGUCGUUAAGCUCGCCGCCUGGGAAGUACGGCCGCAAGGCCUGAAACUUAAAGGAAUUGGCGGGGGAGCACCACAAGGGGUGAAGCCUGCGGUUCAAUUGGAGUCAACGCCGGGAAACUUACCAGGGGCUGACAGCAGGGUGAAGGCCAGAUUGAGGGUCUUGCCAGACAAGCUGAGAGGAGGUGCAUGGCCGUCGCCAGUUCGUGCCGUGAGGUGUCCUGUUAAGUCAGGCAACGAACGAGACCCUCACCUUUAGUUGCCAGCGGGUUCCAACGGAACGCCGGGCACACUAAAGGAACCGCUGUCGAUAAGACGGAGGAAGGAGAGGGCUACGGCAGGUCAGUAUGCCCCGAAUGCCUGGGCCACACGCGGGCUGCAAUGGUGGGGACAAUGGGUUCCGACCUCGAAAGAGGAAGGUAAUCUCGAAACCCCACCUCAGUUGGGAUUGAGGGCUGAAACCCGUCCUCAUGAACAUGAAUCCCUAUAACCGCACGUCAUCUCGUGCGUAACUCCCCCC